GAUGAACGCUGCGGCGUGCCUAAUACAUGCAAGUAGAACGCUGAAGCUUGGUGCUUGCACCGAGCGAGGAGUUGCGAACGGGUGAGUAACGCGUAGGUAACCUGCCUCUUAGCGGGGGAUAACUAUUGGAAACGAUAGCUAAUACCGCAUAAAAGUCGCAUUGCAUGAUGUUGACUUGAAAGGUGCAAAUGCAUCACCAAGAGAUGGACCUGCGUUGUAUUAGCUAGUUGGUGAGGUAACGGCUCACCAAGGCGACGAUACAUACCGACCUGAGAGGGUGAUCGGCCACACUGGGACUGAGACACGGCCCAGACUCCUACGGGAGGCAGCAGUAGGGAAUCUUCGGCAAUGGACGGAAGUCUGACCGAGCACGCCGCGUGAGUGAAGAAGGUUUUCGGAUCGUAAAGCUCUGUUGUAAGAGAAGAACGAGUGUGAGAGUGGAAAGUUCACACUGUGACGGUAACUUACCAGAAAGGGACGGCU
rnacentral:rRNA from 1 species